rnacentral:lncRNA from 1 species
CAUUCUGUGAAAGCUGAUCUAUUUCUCAUGUAUUAUUACUCUUAGAAUGCAGUGUUUUGAUGUGUAGACUAAAUGUCUAGAAAGACUCUGAGUUCAAAUUUUGUCUUUUCUGCUCUAUGAGUCUGCCUACAAAUGUGAUUGGAUUCAGAGUUUAUGAGUACCUUGGGCUUGGUUGAUUUCUAUCAUGCCUUGUAUUUAUCUAUUUCUUAAAAAAAGAAAAAAAAUAUCUUCACAGAAAUAUUUCCCACUGAACUAAAUUAUAAAUAAAAUGGUAGAAGACAGAUACUUUUAAGUUAGCCGAAAUAGACCCUUGGCCAAAAGUAUAUAUGACUACCCAAUAAAGAGAAUAUACAUAAUUUUCAAAUAAAUAUAAACCAUGAAAAAUGACACUAUCUAACAAUUUAGAUGCAUUAUACGAAGGUUACCUCACAGUCUCGUAAUGCAAAUGUUACAAAAUAUAAUC